UUUGGAGUUCAGCCCCACGUCUCUGAGGCGCGGGUGGGGUUUUUUGGACCUCACCUGAGGAGGCCUUUGCGCCCCUUCGGCCCCACCGCGGAGAAGGCAGAACCCGCAAGGUCGGCGGAGAAGGCCAGUAACCUAAAAUGCAGAGUGGAGCCACUGAACUUCAUUGGUAUCUAAAGCCAUACUGCCAAUGGACAAAAAAAUGCAGAGCAGCUCCUGCCCGUUGGCUCAAAAUGCCAGUCACUGGGAGAAGGCAGUUACUUCUGAUGGGUGUUCACAGGCGUUUGGCCCCCUUGAGGAGACCUGUCCUGAGCAGCAGGCCCUGGAAGUCCUACCUGGAGAGAGAUGGGACUGGAUGUGGGUACAUGAUUCACCUAGCAGAGAGAAGGUCACAGUAGUGAUAGGAGAUGAAGAGCGAGAUCUGGAUGGAGAAGAAUGGGUUCCAUCCAGUGCCCAGGAAGGGCAGAGCUUGUCAUGUGAGAUUUUGGCAUCAGCUUUCGAUUCACCAGUUAUUCAACAUUGGCCCGUGGUCAUCCAGCCUGAAAACGUCAUUCCUUUUUCUUGGGUCCUGCAAAAGAGAGGUGGGGAGCUAGCAGUCAUCCUGCUUAUAAGGAAGAAGACUCCUCACAUCUGUUCAGCCAAAUGCUCCAGGCUCCCACACCUGCCCAUCACUGUCAGAGAACUCAUUAAACAGUAGCAACAGUGGCUAGUGUUUACCCAACAUGCUCCAUGGGCCAAGAACCAUCGUGAGCACUUGUCCUUGCAACCACCCUGCGGAGGGCUGGAUGAUGAAGAUGGUGAUGAUGAUGAUGAGUCUUAUCUUCAUAAGUGAGAACUUGGAGAAUAAAGGAAAUUUUUUGCAUGUGGUAGAAUCUGAAG